rnacentral:snRNA from 1 species
AUCCUUUCUGGCCUUUUGGCUUAGAUCAAGUGUAGUAUCUGUUCUUAUCAGUUUUGAUUACUGGUAGACCCACAUUGUGGGUCAACAAAUCAAAUCUUAUCUUUACUCGCCUGACCCGCGGUUCUUGAGCUUGCUCUCCUGCGUUUGGUCGCGAUGUCCGCGCUCUUUCACUCCUGGCGUGCGAUGUCAGGGCUU